AUUCUUAUAGCUUAUAGAGAGUAUUGCAUUGAAGAUGCUAUGGAGAUAAAAAAAUCUAAGAAU
rnacentral:tRNA from 1 species